rnacentral:rRNA from 1 species
GACGAACGCUGGCGGCGUGCCUAAUACAUGCAAGUAGAACGCUGAAGCGAGGAGCUUGCUCUUCUUGGAUGAGUUGCGAACGGGUGAGUAACGCGUAGGUAACCUGCCUUGUAGCGGGGGAUAACUAUUGGAAACGAUAGCUAAUACCGCAUAACAAUGGAUGACACAUGUCAUUUAUUUGAAAGGGGCAAUUGCUCCACUACAAGAUGGACCUGCGUUGUAUUAGCUAGUAGGUGAGGUAAUGGCUCACCUAGGCGACGAUACAUAGCCGACCUGAGAGGGUGAUCGGCCACACUGGGACGGAGACACGGCCCAGACUCCUACGGGAGGCAGCAGUAGGGAAUCUUCGGCAAUGGGGGCAACCCUGACCGAGCAACGCCGCGUGAGGGAAGAAGGUUUUCGGAUCGUAAAGCUCUGUUGUAAGUCAAGAACGGGUGUGAGAGUGGAAAGUUCACACUGUGACGGUAGCUUACCAGAAAGGGACGGCUAACUACGUG